rnacentral:rRNA from 1 species
CCUCCUGGGAAGUCCUCGUUUUGCACCCCU